rnacentral:rRNA from 1 species
CGGGGGGGCGAAGCGUUGUUCGGAAUUACUGGGCGUAAAGGGCUCGUAGGCGGCCAACUAAGUCCGACGUGAAAUCCCCACGGCUCAACCUGGGAACUGCGUCGGAUACUGGAUGGCUUGAAUUCGGGAGGAGGGAUGCAGAAUUCCAGGUGUAGCGGUGAAAUGCGUAGAUAUCUGGAGGAAUACCGGUGGCGAAGGCGGCAUCCUGGACCGACAUUGACGCUGAGGAGCGAAAGCUAGGGGAGCAAACGGGAUUAGAUACCCCGGUAGUCCUAGCCCUAAACGAUGAAUGCUUGGUGUGACGGGUAUCGAUCCCUGUCGUGCCGAAGCUAACGCAUUAAGCAUUCCGCCUGGGGAGUACGGUCGCAAGGCUG